rnacentral:rRNA from 1 species
GACGAACGCUGGCGGCGUGCCUAAUACAUGCAAGUAGAACGUUGAAGGAGGAGCUUGCUUCUCCGGAUGAGUUGCGAACGGGUGAGUAACGCGUAGGUAACCUGCCUGGUAGCGGGGGAUAACUAUUGGAAACGAUAGCUAAUACCGCAUAAGAGUAGAUGUUGCAUGACAUUUGCUUAAAAGGUGCAAUUGCAUCACUACCAGAUGGACCUGCGUUGUAUUAGCUAGUUGGUGGGGUAACGGCUCACCAAGGCGACGAUACAUAGCCGACCUGAGAGGGUGAUCGGCCACACUGGGACUGGGACACGGCCCAGACUCCUACGGGAGGCAGCAGUAGGGAAUCUUCGGCAAUGGACGGAAGUCUGACCGAGCAACGCCGCGUGAGUGAAGAAGGGUUUCGGAUCGUAAAGCUCUGUUGUAAGAGAAGAACGAGUGUGAGAGUGGAAAGUUCACACUGUGACGGUACCUAAACAGAAAGCGACGGCUAACUACGUG